ACGAACGCUGGCGGCGUGCUUAACACCUGCAAGUCGAACGGAAAGGCCCUGCUUUUGUGGGGUGCUCGAGUGGCGAACGGGUGAGUAACACGUGAGUAACCUGCCCUUGACUUUGGGAUAACUUCAGGAAACUGGGGCUAAUACCGGAUAGGAGCUCCUGCUGCAUGGUGGGGGUUGGAAAGUUUCGGCGGUUGGGGAUGGACUCGCGGCUUAUCAGCUUGUUGGUGGGGUAGUGGCUUACCAAGGCUUUGACGGGUAGCCGGCCCGAGAGGGUGACCGGCCACAUUGGGACUGAGAUACGGCCCAGACUCCUACGGGAGGCAGCAGUGGGGAAUAUUGCACAAUGGGCGGAAGCCUGAUGCAGCAACGCCGCGUGCGGGAUGACGGCCUUCGGGUUGUAAACCGCUUUCGCCUGUGACGAAGCGUGAGUGACGGUAAUAGGUAAAGAAGCACCGGCUAACUACGUG
rnacentral:rRNA from 1 species